rnacentral:rRNA from 1 species
AUACGGAGGACGCGAGCGUUAUCCGGAUUCAUUGGGUUUAAAGGGUGCGCAGGCGGCCGUGCAAGUCAGCGGUGAAAGCCCGGGGCUCAACCCCGGAAGUGCCGUUGAUACUGCGUGGCUGGAAUGCGGUCGAGGCGGGCGGAACGUGGCGGGUAGCGGGGGAAUGCGUAGAUAUGCCACAGAAACGCGAUAGCGGAGGCAGCUCGCCAGGCCUGCAUUGACGCUCGGGCACGAAAGCGUGGGGAUCGAACAGGAUUAGAUACCCUGGUAGUCCACGCCGUAAACGAUGGGCGCUCGUCGUCGGCGACAGACAGUCGGCGGCCAAGCGAAAGCGAUAAGCGCCCCACCUGGGGAGUACGGUCGCAAGGCUGAAACUCAAAUGAAUUGACGGGG